UACGUAGGGGGCAAGCGUUGUCCGGAAUCAUUGGGCGUAAAGCGCGUGUAGGCGGCCUUGUAAGUCCGUUCUGAAAGCCCGGGGCUCAACCCCGGGAGGCGGAUGGAUACUGCAAGGCUCGAGUACGGAAGAGGCGAGUGGAAUUCCCGGUGUAGCGGUGAAGUGCGCAGAUAUCGGGAGGAACACCAAUGGCGAAGGCAGCUCGCUGGGACGUUACUGACGCUGAGACGCGAAAGCGUGGGGAGCGAACAGG
rnacentral:rRNA from 1 species